rnacentral:rRNA from 1 species
AGAAAGAUUAAUAUCCGAUAGCAUAUAUUUCCCGCAUGGGUUUUAUAUUAAAGAAAUUCGGUAUGAGAUGGGGAUGCGUUCCAUUAGUUUGUUGGGGGGGUAACGGCCCACCAAGACUACGAUGGAUAGGGGUUCUGAGAGGAAGGUCCCCCACAUUGGAACUGAGACACGGUCCAAACUCCUACGGGAGGCAGCAGUGAGGAAUAUUGGUCAAUGGACGCGAGUCUGAACCAGCCAAGUAGCGUGAAGGAUGACUGCCCUAUGGGUUGUAAACUUCUUUUAUAUGGGAAUAAAGUGGUCCACGUGUGGACUUUUGUAUGUACCAUAUGAAUAAGGAUCGGCUAACUCCGUGCCAGCAGCCGCGGUAAUACGGAGGAUCCGAGCGUUAUCCGGAUUUAUUGGGUUUAAAGGGAGCGUAGGCGGAUUGUUAAGUCAGUUGUGAAAGUUUGCGGCUCAACCGUAAAAUUGCAGUUGAUACUGGCAGUCUUGAGUGCAGUAGAGGUGGGCGGAAUUCGUGGUGUAGCGGUGAAAUGCUUAGAUAUCACGAAGAACUCCGAUUGCGAAGGCAGCUCACUGGAGUGUAACUGACGCUGAUGCUCGAAAGUGUGGGUAUCAAACAGGAUU